CGACCGCUGGCGGCGUGCUUAACACAUGCACGUCGAACGGAAAGGCCCUGCUUUUGUGGGGUGCUCGAGUGGCGAACGGGUGAGUAACACGUGAGUAACCUGCCCUUGACUUUGGGAUAACUUCAGGAAAUUGGGGCUAAUACCGGAUAGGAGCUCCUGCUGCAUGGUGGGGGUUGGAAAGUUUCGGCGGUUGGGGAUGGACUCGCGGCUUAUCAGCUUGUUGGUGGGGUAGUGGCUUACCAAGGCUUUGACGGGUAGCCGGCCUGAGAGGGUGACCGGCCACAUUGGGACUGAGAUACGGCCCAGACUCCUACGGGAGGCAGCAGUGGGGAAUAUUGCACAAUGGGCGGAAGCCUGAUGCAGCAACGCCGCGUGCGGGAUGACGGCCUUCGGGUUGUAAACCGCUUUCGCCUGAGACGAAGCGUGAGUGACGGUAAUGGGUAAAGAAGCACCGGCUAACUACGUG
rnacentral:rRNA from 1 species